GAUGAACGCUAGCUACAGGCUUAACACAUGCAAGUCGAGGGGUAACGAGAGGAAAGCUUGCUUUCCUUGUCGACGACCGGCGCACGGGUGAGUAACGCGUAUCCAACCUGCCCCCAACUAGGGAAUAACCUUGCGAAAGUAAGACUAAUACCCUAUAAUUUCCUCAGAUGUCAUCUGACGAGGAAUAAAGAUUUAUCGGUUGUGGAUGGGGAUGCGUCUGAUUAGCUUGUGGGCGGGGUAACGGCCCACCAAGGCAACGAUCAGUAGGGGUUCUGAGAGGAAGGUCCCCGACAUGGGAGCUGAGACACGGUCCAAACGCCUACGGGAGGCAGCAGUGAGGAAUAUUGGUCAAUGGGCGGAAGCCUGAACCAGCCAAGUAGCGUGCAGGAUGACGGCCCUAUGGGUUGUAAACUGCUUUUAUACAGGAAUAAAGUUAGCCACGUGUGGUUAUUUGUAGGUACUGUAUGAAUAAGGACCGGCUAAUUCCGUGCCAGCCGCCGCUGUAA
rnacentral:rRNA from 1 species